rnacentral:lncRNA from 1 species
AUAUGUGUGGUUUUAGCAAAAAGGAGGGAAGCUACUGUGAGCGGGUGCUGCCGGAGGAAGCUGGCGAUGUUUCAUCAUAUUAGAAAUUAGGGCAGUAACAAAACAAGGGAUUAGGGCCAAUUCCAGGAAGCCGAGUAACAGUGAGUGUUUAAUGAGAGAGAGAGAGAUCUGGCGCAGAGAGGAUUUGAGAGAAAUAAAGCAUUGGGGU